AGCGAACGCUGGCGGCGUGCUUAACACAUGCAAGUCGAGUGCGUAGCCCUUUGUAGCAAUACAGAGGGUGGGCGCACGGCGCACGGGUGAGUAACACGUGGGUAACCUGCCCUUCGGUGGGGAAUAACCCCGCGAAAGCGGGGCUAAUUCCGCAUAACAUUCCGGGGACACAUGUUCUCGGACUCAAAGGAGUGAUUCGCCGGAGGAGGGGCCCGCGCCCGAUUAGCUUGUUGGUAGGGUAACGGCCUACCAAGGCUUUGAUCGGUAGCCGGUCUGAGAGGAUGGCCGGCCACACUGGAACUGAGACACGGUCCAGACUCCUACGGGAGGCAGCAGUGGGGAAUCUUGCGCAAUGGGCGAAAGCCUGACGCAGCGACGCCGCGUGGGGAUGAAGCUUCUCGGAGU
rnacentral:rRNA from 1 species